GUGACUAAUUUAAUUUAAAAGUUCUGUUUUAGGUGUAUAUUGAUCGUCUGUAAUGAAAAUACGAAGAUAAGGUCAGACCUCAGUUUUAUUUUCUACACUUAAGAA